AUUAAGUAUACAAUUAUAUGAUCAUAUCAUAUCGUAUUUAAAAAUUUAUUUUUCGAUAAAAUACAACGAUUGAAUAAUAUUAGAUAUUGAAUAUAAUAUCCGAAAUAAAAAUAUUUCUUUGAUUAUUUUCAUAUUAAUGAGUUUCCUUCACGGAAGACGGAUUUCCGUGAAAGAUAAUAGAAUGAGAAUGAUGGAAAAAGGAAGAGAGUAGAGGAAAAGCGGAGCGAAAACGAGACGAAAAGAGAAUGGGUGUUGGCAUACUCGGGAGCAGACGCAGCGCAGCGAGUGAACGCGUGAGACGGGAACCGGAAGUCUAUUUUCGUGUGCCGCACCGAUUUAGAAAGCUUUAUAGUUUGUACGAGCCUGAACGGCUACAGCCAACGCAUCGUUGAUGUGGCUCGUUGCUUUGAGUGCAUGCACAAAUUGAGAUUUGUGAUUCUCUCUCUCUCUCUCUCUCUCUCUCUUCUCUCACUAUUCUAGAUCUAUCCCAUCCAACUAUUUACAAACAUUAGCCCAUCAAACACAAAAUAGUAAAAUAAUAA